rnacentral:lncRNA from 10 species
AGCAGUGACCCAUCCUCACAUCUUGUGCCACGUGUCACGGAACUCCUGCCUGGUUAUGUUCAGAGCUGGCGCAGAAGCUACUGGGGACUUGACCUGAGGGAAGAAAAGAUUUGAGUUGGCUCCAAUCCCAUUAGCACAACUAGCUGGAGAUAAGCCAUCUGUCACUGCUGCUGCUGGCUUCAACUGCCACUCUAAUUGACAAUGAACCCAGAGACCUGUAAUAAUUGUGGCUGCUCAGUGACUUCGACAGGUUCUCUACUUGUGUCACUGCAGAGAAAUUUUAGGAGAAGGAUGUCUCAGGGGGCCCUCAGGCUGGCAGGCUCCCCAGUGCUACAUCCAGAUGCCAAGCUCUGGCCUCAAAGGCCAGAUUCCAGCAUUUAGGAUGGAGAGACAACCCUGAUGAUCUCCUCUUUCCAUGAGAACACAAUUCCUCAAAAUUGUCUUUUCUAAGUCUUUGAUAAGUUAACUGUCAAAAUCUUGGAGCUGAAACACCAUCUCUGACCAUUUGGGGAUAAUUUCCUCUUUAUUACUCCUCUUUUAGGUUGUACCCCCUUAUUUCAUGCUACUUACUUCUCACUCCAGGGUAUUCCCACUCUUGUGGUAUGUUCAAGUUACAAUCUUCUCCCGCAGCCAGAGGUAGAGUCAAGCUGAGAGUUGCUCUGGUCCUGACAAUGUGUUUUCUCUCCUUUAAGCCAAUUCUUCCAUCUCCUUAAUCAUUAACUUUAUAGUUUGAACCUUUUCCAAUUUGUCCACAUUUUCAGAAAAGCAAAAGCAAUACAGUACUCUAAAAAUAAACCAAGCUUUCUGUGUCUUAAACUUUGUGUAAUCUGCACAAUUAAAAAUUGAUGUUUGUAGUUUUAUUGUCUCCUGCUCUCUCUGAUGCCUACAUUCCUUAGACCCUUUUACCUUUUUACUUGUAUGCACGCAUACAUUUAAAUUACUUAUCUAUUCAUGUAACAGGAAUGCCUGAACACAGCUUAUAUAAACAACUCUUUCUCAGGACAGUCUUUCAGGGGAUGAAAGCAAGACACAUUUUUCUACUGGCUCCAGCCUCUCACUGGUCAAACAUCUGCCUCGUGGGUGUUCAUGCUUCAUGAUGGAAGUGUGAAGUGGACGUUGUCCAGUUGUGCCUGUGUGACAUUGGUCUGAGCAAGAGCUGGGACAAAUGGCUACAGCUUGCAGAUGGACGAGCCUGAGGGGGUACAAACCAUCUCAUGCAGCUUCAGGUGGGAGAAACUUGGGAAGACCCUUAACUGCCGUUUCCUGGGCUUGCUCCUGCUGGUGCAUUUUCCUGUGCUGCUUCUUAUGCCCAGUGCCUUCAUGCACCUGUCCUUCCAUCACUUGUCCAUACCUCUCAGCAAUUUCAAGCACCAGUAAGAAGAAGCAGUGUCACCCAGGUGAAAGUCUGAAUCACCCCACCUCAGGCUGACCACAGGAAAACAGAGAAUGGCAAUGGAUCUAUUUUGGGUGCUUCCUGAAUGAAGUAUAUGGGCCAGCUGAUGAGUCAUCAGGAAGAUCAUUAAGGAAGAUUUUAAUAUAAGAAGACUUUAUUGGAUAUCUGUGAUUUGCAGAACACUGUUGAGAAACAAACAACACACAGAAUGCAAGCUUGCCUUUAAAAAUGUGUAUCCUAAUUAGGGAAAUAAUUAUGUUUCCAUGUAUAUCAUAUGUACACACACACAUACACAUAGGUAUGUAUGAUCAUCUCAUGUAUGUCAUAUAUGUGUAUUUGUGUGUAUAGAUAUACUUUUUUUUGUUAGAACAACUACAUCAAUGUGAACCAAAAAACUCACAAUGGCAGAAGAGGCCUCUGAGUCUGUUUCUUAUCUAUUUCUGAGCAUCACUAGGCACCUCUCUCCUGUGUAAUUCAUAUGACAACAACGUACACUAUGACAUGUGUUUAUUUUACCAAAUGUUGUUCUUUCAUUUGUCUUGAAUACGCUGAAUUCCCCUGCUCACCUGAACAACUGUAUUCAUCUCCCAAAACCUGUCUCUUGAUUCUGGGUAAAGAUUUUGCUUAUUGAGUCACUUCAGGUUAGUGUCCAGUCUUUUGGAUUCUGAUAUAGUGUGGGUGUGUCCCCACCCAAAUCUCAUCUUGAAUCGUAGUUCCCAUAAUUCCCAUGUGUUGCGGAAGGGACUUCCUGGAAGGUAAUCAAAUCACGGGGGUGGGUCUUUCCCGUGCUGUUCUUGCGAUAGUGAAUAAGUCUCACAAGAUCUGAUGCUUUUAUAAAGGGUAGUUCCCUUGCACACGCUUUCUUGCCUGCCACCAUGUAAAUUGUGCCCUUGUUCCUCCUUCAUCUCCUGCCAUGAUUGUGAGGCCUCCCCAGCCACGUGCAACUGUGAGUCCAUUAAAUCUCUUUCCUUUAUAAAUUACCCAGUCUCAGGUAUGUCUUCAUUAGCAGCAUGAGAACAG